GACGAACGCUGGCGGCGUGCUUAACACAUGCAAGUGGAGCGACGAACCAGGCUUCGGCCUGGGGCAGAGCCGCGAACGGGUGAGUAACACGUGGGUAACCUGCCCCGAUGACCGGGACAACCCGAGGAAACUCGGGCUAAUACCGGAUGUGCUGCCCUCACAUCAGUGAGGUUGCAAGAGCUUCGGCCUCGCAUUGGGAUGGGCCCGCGGCCCAUUAGCUUGUUGGUGAGGAACGGCUCACCAAGGCUGCGAUGGGUAGCUGGUCUGAGAGGACGAUCAGCCACACUGGGACUGAGACACGGCCCAGACUCCUACGGAGGCAGCAGUGGGGAAUCUUGCGCAAUGCGCGAAAG
rnacentral:rRNA from 1 species